AUGCAGCCCAGGCCUGGUGUGGGACGCACCCUCGCCGCGCCCAAGCUGUCCCCGCCCCUCUCCCGGGACUGCCCUGGCUUUGAUCAGUCAAACGCCAGGAAUGGAGGCAGCGGGAGCGCGCCCGGGACCCCAGUGUGCCCCAGCGCGGGAGCGCGCCCGGGACCCGGCAGUGCCCGUGUCCGCAGCCCUUUGUGGUUUCCGGCAGUGGCCGGGGCAGCGCUGAGUCACAGGGAAGCAGCGCCAGGAGGGAAGCCGGCAGCGGCUUCCUCCCCGCCUCCUCUUCCUCUGGGCGCCCUAAGUAGCACCCUGGCUCUGGGCCUUGGGGCAGCACCCAGGUUGCACCCUCAGCCCAGCCUGGCCCUGCCCAGCCCUGUGCAGGACAGAGGACCUUCGGCGGCGGUGCGGGCGGCAGGACCCGGAUCCGUGUGGCCCAGAAGGCGACGGAGGCCGGGCCAGCCCAGGCCGGACCGUGUGAUGCCCUCUGCACACGCAGCACGCGGGAGCCCAGCGACAGCGCCAUGCGAGAUGGACUUGAGUUUCUUCCGCGGUGCCUUCUGGACUUACUGGAUGCUUUUAAAUAAACACAGUUAAAGGCAGCACCUUCUUGGAAGGGUGUGGGAGAAUCACGCCCGAGAGCCUGGUGAGGCCCCGCCCUGCUGCCCUCACUCUGGCUCGGCACCUCCGCUGGAGGUCAUCUAUUCAUUCUACAAGCAUGCACUGCUGCCGCCUCUGUGCUGGCCUCCGGCUGGGCUCCGGGAAGCUUCCAGGACGGCUGGACCGCAGUGUGGACCUGCACACCCAGAGUGUUGCCUCCGAAUCGAGACGCCCUAGGACCAGCCACCCAAGGCAUCGUGCCGGACGCCCACGGCCCACGGCAUGUUCUUCAAAAGAGAAGCCGGGCAGACGGCAAGGCGUGCACAGACCCAGCUGGGGCUCCCGACGGUGCUCGGGGCUGCCCCGAGGGCACAGCACCCCCAGCCCCGCCGGCAUCCAGGCCCUACCCCGGGGGGUCUUCCCGAGCUCUCGGGCCCCUGUUGUGGGCAGGCACAUGGGAUAAAAUUGAUCAGGUCUGCGAGCGGGAAGACCACGUCUUCACCACACCCCCGUGUGGCCGCACGCCCCUACCUGGCCACACCUGUGCACCCCCGGCCCAUCAGGCUACUUAACCACUCUCCUUUGGAAGUGCACUAGAACCCCGGGCCACGGUGUGCCAGCCCCCCCUUUCCUCGGGCUUUUGCCAGGGUGGGGUCUGUGUGGCCCUGCGCCUCGAGGGCACCUGGCCUUCGGGCCACCGCCCAUGCUCCCUGGCAGGACGCUCCUCCACGUGGCUGGCUCCCGGCAUCGGUGUGAACCAGAUUUACCCCUCAGUGAGACAAAGCCUCACUCCCUCUCCCAUGCGCUUCUCUCACCAAGUAAAAGCUUUAAAAUGCACCCUGCCGCCUCGUUCCUCUGCGGCGGCGGCCGGAAGGCCUCUCCGAGUGUUAGGCGAGGACCCGCAGGCUUGUUAAGCUUGGGAACUUACUAAUAAGCACGAGGUGAUGCCGUACGGCACCCACAUGGCACUUUUGGGGAACGUUCAGGGGGUCAUAUUCCGAUUUCACAUUUUAGGGGGCCAAUUCCGAUAUCACCCCCACUCCUGGGGAUCCCCAAGUCGGCCAAGCAUGCCCACAGUCUACCCCGCGGGAGGCAGGCAGGCAGCAGACACGCCCACUUCCCAGCUCCCCCCACCCCCAUCCGGAGGAUGACGUCGAGGUGCGGUGGAUAGCCGCCCGCGGGAGGUGCCAGGAAGAUGGAGCUCAGGGCCAGCCCCCCAGGAUGCCACCCCUGCCGCCCGGUGGCCCCCAGGCCCCCACAUACAGGCGGCCGCUGUGUCCACAGGGGCAGGGCAGCCGUUGGAAGGGAGAUGUGUCCUGGCCAGGCCUUGAAAUGGUGAGGGGCCUGGCCGUGGGCAGGAAGGGCCCCUGCAGGUGGCCAGCGCGGAGAAAGUGCAAGAACUGAGCCUUGGGAUCCCACAGCUCAAGGCCAAGGCUUCUGUGUCCCAGGUGCAGGCGCGGGGCUCCUGUGGGAGGCGGGGCUCGUGGUCAGGUCCACGGUGCAGGGCAGAAGGGGGAGGAAGACAGUGGCCCCUCACCCCCCAGGCAGGCGCCACUGGAGCCCGCCUCCCUGCUGAGAACCGAGUGAGCGGGAGCCGCCCUCCUCAGGACCCUACCAGCUGGCCGUGGCCUCUGCAGCCGAGUGAGGUAGCUGCUCUCAACCCUCCUCCACCCGCCCCUGAAAUCACAGCCGGUGUUACCCGGGCUCGCGAGACGGGCGGCGUCGGAGAGCGUCGGUGGCCCAUCCAGGCUCACACAGCCAGCAUGGGCCGCAGUCUGGGGCCGGAAUUCGCUGGACAACCCACUGACUGCGGCGGCAGACUGCUGCCCCUUGGGCCUCCUCCACCUCCCGGCUGCCGACCCCUCCACCUGGCCCUGCCGCCUGUGUGAUGUGGCACUGAGGGUCACGUGGCGCCACGUUCGAGUCACAUUCGGUAAAGUGUGACCCUGGGCAGGUGACCCUCACUGCCUCCACCCAAGCAGUGUCCACAUCAGCUGGUCAGGGAGACUGUGUGAUGAACUGAGCCAGGACACACAUCUGAGAUGGGGGCCCUAAAAUCAGGGCCAGAGAAAAAGUCACAGCCAAACUAAGGCCAGGGACACAGUCGCCCGCAGCACUGGGGCAGGGACAUGGUCUCCUGCAGAGCCGGGUCAGGGACACGGUCGCCCGCAGAGCUGGACCCAGGGACACGGUCACCUGCAUAGCUGGACCCAAGGACACGGUCACCUGCAGCCCCGGGGCAGGGACACGGUCACUCACAAAGCUGGGGCAGGGACACGGUCACCCGCGGAGCAGGGACACAGUGACUCAGAGGGCUGAGGUGAGGGACACGGUCACACACACAGCUCCUCGCAGGACUCCCGCCCCUGCCCCACUGCCUGGGGCUGCCAAGAGGGGCCUUCAGCCCCUGGACCCGGGCAGCCUCAGGUCCCUCCUCAGGGAGAAGCCCACCCCAGCUCUCAGUGGCCUCCCAGCCCUAGAGAACCAACCCCAGGGCCUCCCUGAGUCUGCUCAGCCGAGGGAAGUGCGGCCCUGUCCCACCCUCAGCCCAGACCCGGCACAGGAAGCAGCGGGGCCCGGCCCGGGCAUCCAUCGUUUCCAUCGGCUCGGUGGGGGCCCCAGCUCCCAUCCGAGUGCCCCGACUCUGUCCUCCUUGUUGUCCUGGUGUCGUGGCUGACCCUGACGCACUGCCACCAGGCCAGUCACCUCCCCUCGGGGCGCCCAGCUAAUAACACCGCCCACUCAGGAGCACAGGUCUUUGUGACAAGCGUGUGGACUCAGAAAACAACAGGCCACUUGGAAAACAAUAAAAGAAUCACCCCUGCCCCGCCUGGCA
rnacentral:lncRNA from 1 species